GUUCGACCGAAAAUUGGGCUCCUAGGGCCUCUCUCUCUCUCUGGCUGUGUCCAGAUUAAUAAAAAAAAUCCCCUCCUCCCUCCGAUGGCGCUUCGUCCCGUGACGUACGGCGACCCUCCAUCUCCUGGCUCCUCCGUCCGGCGGCGGCGCGCCCCCCCCUCCUCGGCCUCCCACCCCACGACGAUGGCGCGCACCCUCCCCAUGCUAGAUGCCGCAUGGCAGAGGGCCGCGGGGUUCCGGAGCCAAGCGGCGGCUCUCUGCCCCGACGCUGACGGUGCUCAUCUCGCGACGUCGUUUCUUCCUCGGUGGCCGUGCUCUCCUUGUGGCACCACAAGGUCCCACGGGAUGCAGGCAAAAGGGGCGGGUGGAGGUAGCCCGGCGUGCCCCCAACGCACAACAGCGACGGCCUGUGGCAACAUCACGGUCCUCACCGCGAGCUUAGCAUGCUACGGCCGAUGGUGUUGGCGUUGUUGCGGCGCAAUGGCUGGAUCCAGCUCUCCAACACACGAGGGCGGCAGAUCCAGUCCGGCACCCGCUGCAGGUGCUGCUAGGCGAGGGGGCUUCUACACGAUUGGUCUCCGGUAAGGGAUGAUUUUCCCCAAUGUUUCCUCUAUCUUGUUUCUACAGGUCACAGAUGGGUAGGUGGCGGCGCAUGGGCCUUCUCUCCCUCCACCGGUGGCGGCGCAUGUGCGACAUUUUUUUUCUUUUUUUCCUCUCCAUUUUGCGGCAUGGUCUGGCGGCUCUUGCAUGACCAUUGAACCUGCAAUGCAAUGUCGGUGAGGGCUGGGGCGAGGACUCUAGGAGGCGUUAGGUGGCCGGAGAAGAAGUUCGACAUGUAGUGCUCCAGGCCAUGGCUCCCCACGGGGCGGUCCGGUGCACGAUGCAGUCCACGGCCAUGGCACAAGAUCAAGGAGGCCAUUGCCCCCGCUUCGUCGAUGGGCAUGUGUAUGGGCACACAUUCUGUGGGGCGAGCAAAUCCGGCCCUAGCGAUGUCAUCUUUGGUCCAGCAGCACGCUUCAUGCGGCGAGCAGUUUCGUGCAUGAGGAGGGGGUUGCUUGCUUGUUUCCAAGAUGGUUGGAAGGAUUAUUCUUCAUUUGGUGUGAGAGGUCAAUGGCAUGGCUUGCGACGUCCACGACUUAGUUGACUUGUGGCGGUGGCGCAGUGUGAUCUUGAUGUAGUUGAUGGGUUAAUGUAAAAAAUUAGUUUUCCAUAUGUUAUGUUUAUAUGCUUGGAUGAAUGAGCAAAGCUAUUGGUUGUUAUGUAACAUUAGUUGGGUUUAGAUAGUUUUGUUGACUAGGUUUCUAUGCAUGUUGUGAAUUGUGCUCAUAUGCACAAUGUUUUCUAUGCCACAACUCAUGAGUUUUCUAUGCCAUAUUUUAUUCACCUUAGUUUGCAUAGGUUUUAUGUUUAGUUUGCAUAGGUUUUAUUCAUGCUUAGUUUGUAUAGAAUUCUAUGCUUACUUUGCAUAAUUUGAAGACCUGUUGAAUUCAAAAUUUUGAGAAUUCAUCGAUAUCUAUUCUUGUGUAUUUUUGCACAUGUUCUGAAUAUGCUCAUAUGCACAAUGCUCAUGGGAUUCAAACUUCAACUGCUUUAUAUGAUGGCUGAAAUGGACUCCUCUAUUUGAUGGGAGGUCAAUGGUGGCACAGUCAUAAGGACAUGGCUAAUGAUAUUCAUGACUUUUCUGGUUUUUGCGGUGGUGGCAUAGUGUGAUCAUUUUUUAUAUAGUUGAUGGGUCAAUGUAAAAUAUUGAUGGCUCGUGUAGUUGAUGUAGUUGAUGGCUUACUCAUAAAAACAAAUUUGUAUAUAUUCUUGAGCAAUUAUGUGUUCACCUGUACACAGCUAUAUGCAUGGUUGGAGCACUCUUAUGUGUAUUGUUAGAACACUUCGACAUACGUUAUUAGGAUAAUUAUUUGUACACUUUCUAUAUUUCUAUA